rnacentral:rRNA from 1 species
GUAGCUGGCAAGCGUUGUCCGGAGUUAUUGGGCGUAAAGCGCGCGCAGGUGGUUCUUUAAGUCUGAUGUGAAAGCCCCCGGCUCAACCGGGGAGGGUCAUUGGAAACUGGGGAACUUGAGUGCAGGAGAGGAAAGUGGAAUUCCACGUGUAGCGGUGAAAUGCGUAGAUAUGUGGAGGAACACCAGUGGCGAAGGCGACUUUCUGGCCUGUAACUGACACUGAGGCGCGAAAGCGUGGGGAGCAAACAGGGAUUAGAUACCCUGGUAGUCCACGCCGUAAACGAUGAGUGCUAAGUGUUGGGGGGGUUUCCGCCCCCUCAGUGCUGCAGCUAACGCAUUAAGCACUCCGCCUGGGAGUACGGUCGCAAGACUG